rnacentral:rRNA from 1 species
UACGUAGGGUGCGAGUGUUAAUCGGAAUUACUGGGCGUAAAGCGUGCGCAGGCGGCGCGUUAAGACAGGUGUGAAAGCCCCGAGCUUAACUUGGGAAUUGCGCUUGUGACUGGCGUGCUGGAGUGUGGCAGAGGGAGGUGGAAUUCCACGUGUAGCAGUGAAAUGCGUAGAUAUCUGGAGGAACACCGGUGGCGAAGGCGGCAUCCUGGACCAACACUGACGCUGAGGAGCGAAAGCCAGGGGAGCAAACGGG